AUUGAACGCUGGCGGCAGGCCUAACACAUGCAAGUCGAGCGAGCGGCGGACGGGUUAGUCAUGUAUGGGGACUGCUCGAUAGCGAGGGAUAACUACUGGAUACGGUAGCUACUCCCGCAUACUAUUGGAUAACCCAUUUGGGGGUGGCUAGUAGGUGAGGUAAUGGCCCACCUCGGCGACGAUCCCUAGCUGGUCUGAGAGGAUGAUCAGCCACACUGGGACUGAGACACGGCCCAGACUCCUACGGAGGCAGCAGUGGGGAAUAUUGCACAAUGGGCGCAAGCCUGAUGCAGCCAUGCCGCGUGUAUGAAGAAGGCCCUAGGGUUGUAAAGUACUUUCAGUCGGGAGGCGUUACCGACAGAAGAAGCACCGGCUAACUCCGUGCCAGCAGCCGCGGUAAUAC
rnacentral:rRNA from 1 species